UUGUUCCUGGUUUUGGGACAUUUGAAAGAGAGCAUCUCCCAGUGGCAAAGAUAAGAGCCCACGUCCUUCCUGCAUCCUGUGGCUGUGCAUUCUCAGCCACAAGAGUCAGCAAAUCCCCUUCCAGAGGGAAGCGAUUUGGACAAUAACAUCUCAGACUGAUGCUGCUAAUCUGGCCUUACCCAAGGGAAGUGGGUGAGGUCAGAAGAUGGGGAAAGGACUUGUCUGCUGUCAGGAUGAUGGUGAAAUUGGCGCAUCAAAUAAAGCUGAAUGCUGCUGUAAAGGCUGAAUGACCAGUGUAUAAAUCCAAGACUUCUCCAAAGGAAGGGAAGAGAAGAAAUAGUAAGGAAGAUGGACUCACUGGUCAAUGGAUCAAAGAUCUUUGAAUGAUGUCGAUGUUGAACAGAAUUUACUCUGAUGUCUACUGUUUAUUAUGGCUCAUUUCCACUCCUUUCAGUGUUGAUGACAUUGUGUUGAAUAAACAA